rnacentral:rRNA from 1 species
UACGUAGGGGGCUAGCGUUGUCCGGAUUUAUUGGGCGUAAAGAGCGUGUAGGCGGCCAGGUAGGUCUGCUGUGAAAACUCGAGGCUCAACCUCGAGACGUCGGCGGAAACCAUCUGGCUAGAGUCCGGAAGAGGAGAGUGGAAUUCCUGGUGUAGCGGUGAAAUGCGCAGAUAUCAGGAAGAACACCAAUGGCGAAAGCAGCUUUCUGGGACGGUACUGACGCUGAGACGCGAAAGCGUGGGGAGCGAACAGG